CAAAUAAAUCAGUUGCCCCCGAUUGAGCUUCCGUGCUGGUACAACGUGUUGCGACCGCUAUCCGUUCUCUCUCGAUUUAGAUUUCAGGUUCGUUUCAUAUUAAGUCGAGCGGUAUUGAUUUCGCUUGAGUAGAUUUGUUUUCGAACUGAGUCAUUUUCGUAUAACUUUUGUUACAUAUUUAUACUGGCCUUAUUUAUCGAGAUGCUUAAAAACACGAUGAAAUGUUGUGGCUCGUAGGAAUAAGCUCAGGCUAACGUAAUGCAGAACCUCGACUGUUAUUUUAACAUUUGUGACGUUCUCAUACGGGGCUUGUAGUUGAGUCGAAGGAAUUAAGUUUAAAAGAUAUCAUUGAAAUAGCAGUGAGAAAUGUGUUGGUACUUGGGCGUAAAAUUAAACUCUGCCUCACAAAACAAAUGUUGAUUUGGAAUAAAUAAGUCAAAAUGAUUCAGGCUCUUGCAUUAGAUGCAAGCAUUUCAUACAUAAUUAAGUAGUUUUCUUUUUUAAUUGUUCUCCGAUUGAGUAAUUACAGAGAACUCGAUAUCUCUGCAGAAUGCCCUCUUAACCGUGCUCCUACAAGAGCUUCCAGUGCAGUAUUGUGGCCACAUCUUUCACCUAUCAAAUCCAGCCAAAAUAGAAAGAAAAGAAAAUGGCCAUAAUGAAUAUACGGAACUGAAAAUCUCAACUCUUAUUUCAUAAACGAAAGAUCUUUGUAGUUAUAGUAGUACAACAAAAGGGGAAUCACUAGUGAUCCUUUUCCGUGUUACAUUUAUUAUUAAUCAUUUUCUCAAUUACAGGAAAAAAAAAAGAUACAACUUUCUUGGAUCAGAAAAGGAUUAGGGGAACAUAGAAAGGGUCACUUAAAUGGUAGAAUGGGUUUCGGGUUUCAUACAGAGAGAGAUGGCGAAAGGCCGAACUCUAGCCCCCACAGCUCAAAACUUCCCUUGAUAAAGUCGUAGUAACCGCCCUUUAGUGCGAGAGUUUUGUUCACCAAUCCCUCUCUAACGAAUGGGUACGACAACAGGUUUCCAAGUGAAACAUUCACUGCCUCCUGUUACAGUAGUUAGGAAUUUUUUUAAUCAGAAUAAUUGUUGAUCAAUUUGCUAGUUAAAUAACACUAUUAUCAUGAUGGAGCAGACUAUAUUAUGCCGUUGUUUGAUAAGAAAGACGGUUUUGACCUUUUCGCAUAGUACGCACUUGUCGCCGAAAGGCGUCUCUGCGUGCUGAGCAUUGAUCUUGGCCUUGGCAGGUAAACAGAUUUUCACCCAGUCCUCAAUGAAGUCACUUUUAAGAUCACAAAAACUCGACACGGUUAGUCAUGAUUGAUUAUGUGAUAAGAGUGUGUGUGUGUGUGUGGUUGGAGGGGGAUUCAGUAUAUGAAGUCCUUUUCUUCUUCUUCUUCAUAUGGCUUGUAAAAUAAGAUUUUCUUUUAAAUUUUAGUAAGUAAGAACACUACAACAUCGUAAUUGGGGAGAGAAAACGAGGGACUUUGACUGUAAGAACAUCAAUAUAAAAACAUGAUUUCUGAAAUUUCGAAAGAAAGUAGAAGGCUUACGUGGAGGUGGUUCCAUCGAAUGGGAAGGACAUGAGCCCCUUGAUUCCUCCACAGGCACUGUGUCCAAUCACCACAAUUUCCUGGACCUGUAAUAAUAUUUAUUUUACUAUGUUAAUUCCACACAGCCACUUAUCUAUUAAACUCUUGAAUUACGUGGCUGCGAUUUUCAGUGUUUAUUUUAGCUGAGAAGGAUUUUAGUUUGUUUCACCUUUAGGUGCAGAACACCGUACUCAAUAGCAGCCCCAACUCCAGAGUAUUUGGUCUGUUGCAGCAGAAAUAUUGGAGAAUACCUCGUGUUUUAGAAACUCGAGAAUAUGAAACACUAAUGUCAAACAGAUGAAUAAAAAAAAGCCCGUUUAAUAAGACCUUAUCGUAUGCAGGAACCAUGUUGGCAAUGUUUCUGACCACGAACGCCUCCCCUGGCUGGAAGUCCAGCACAUGCGAUGGGCACACACGCGAGUCUGAGCAUGCGAACACCAUGAACUGUCCAAGUACAGUUGCUUAUUAUAUCAAUGUAAGAGAAUUUAAGUCUAUGGUUCUUAUGCUUAAGAUGAAAGACUUUUGGUAAUCGAUUAAUAAGACGAUUAAAACUCGUGAAUCUUUAUAUAUAUAUACCUUGGGGCUCUGACCUUUGGCAAGUUCGCCGUAUAAUGCUGGGUUCUGCCUGUAUUUUUUUAUAAGACAAUAGAUGUUAGAGACUCGAUUCUUUGAUUUUUCUUGUUUGUCUGAAUUUGCAUUUCCAUUCUAAAGUAAUUUGAUAAACGUUGGCUUACUCGUAUUUCUCUUUUUUGAAGUGGAUGAAUCCAGUUUUCAACCUCUCGAUGGACUCGGAAGAGGAGACGCUUCCAUCGACUGUUUUCAGUUCAGCUGUGAUUUCAUCAAUUCUUGCUGCAGCGACAGGUCCUAGUUCUCCAUUUUCACUGCAUGCAUUCAUUCAUUCCAUUUUAAGCUUAAUUUUAUAAAUUUCUUAUAUGGCAAUCUUAAAUCACAUAAACCGAAAAUAGCGACGUAUUUACACUUGUCGAUUACGAAAUUAAUAUGAAAGUGUAUCCUUAGCAAACCUUAGAAGCUUUCCGAGUGCAGCAAUGGCCUCCUCGUAUGAGUCUUUUCCCAUGUCUUCCUUCUGCAGUUUGUCAAUGCAUUAUUAUUAGAUAUUAUAACUGAUAAAGAUUUGUGAAUAUAAAUCAAGUAAACUAAAAGGAAACAGUACUAUAUUAUAUAUUUGGCAGAGGGUCCUUUAAUUUCUGUGAUUUUUUAUUUUAUUUUGCUAGUAAGAUUUUUUUAGCUAGUAUAAUGGCGAUUAGGCACACGUGGAACCUUAAGUUAAGGUUGUAAGAAUCAAUGUUCCAAAAUCCUUAACAAUAUCACAUGAAAAAAUAGGCCAUGCAUUGAAUUUUGUCCACGUCAUCACAGUUUUGUAACCGAAAGUUCCACGUGAACUGUCACCUAAUUGUAGUGUGCAAGUGGCAUCACUCUUGAGUCGUGAGCAUUUAAACCAGUACUCGAGCUAUUAAAUCAGCUGUAUAAUAAUACCCCAUAACUUAAUAAUCCCUUAAUUAUCCAAAGUCAAGUUAUCUAUAAUAUAAAAUCAAAUUAAAAUGAUAAGAAAACAGCUACAAUUUUUGAAGUCUAAAAACUAAAAACCAAAGAUUGGAUCCAAUACCAGACGGAAAUUAAAUAUGAAUCGAUUAAAAUUAAUAAAUAGUUUUUUUUUUCAAUUUUUUUAUUAUUAUAGAUUUACUGCCUCAAUGACUGCAUUUGAACAAUGAAGAUAGAUAAAAGCAUAUAAAUAUAUAUAAUUAGUGCGAGCGAUCGAAGAUACCAAAAGUGGGUGGAUGAUGGGAGCAGGAGCAGCGAAAACGGGCUCGUUACGGAUGAGACUGAUGGGAGUAGUAGCGGCAGAGGAGGAGGAGUUGAGCUUGGCGGUGGCGACAGGGCGGAACGCAACUUUAGAUUGAGUUGAGGUGGUGGUGGUGGUGGAAGUGAGGAGUUGAGAAGCAAAGCAGCUCUUAAUAGUUGAAAUGGAGCAAUGGGCCAUAUUCUAUUAUUCCCUCCCACUACUA
rnacentral:lncRNA from 1 species